GCCGCGCCGCGGUGCAGUCUGGGAGCGCGGAGGCGGUAGCGCCAGGAGGGCCCGCGGCGGCCAUUUUGUGUCGCUGGGCUCUGUGGGGCUGGUGCGGCCGUUGCGGUUCAGGAGGAAAGAGCUCGGCCGUCUCCUUUCUGUGUAGAUCGGGGGCGCUGCCGCCGUCAUGGGUCGUAAGAAGAAGAAGCAGCUGAAGCCUUGGUGCUGGUACUGUAACAGGGAUUUUGAUGAUGAAAAAAUCCUUAUACAGCAUCAAAAAGCAAAGCACUUUAAAUGCCAUAUAUGUCACAAGAAACUGUAUACAGGACCUGGCUUAGCUAUACAUUGCAUGCAGGUACAUAAAGAAACAAUAGAUGCUGUUCCAAAUGCUAUUCCUGGAAGAACAGAUAUUGAACUGGAAAUCUAUGGCAUGGAGGGCAUUCCAGAAAAAGACAUGGAGGAGCGGAGGAGGUUACUUGAACAAAAAACUCAGGCAGAAAGCCAGAAAAAGAAACAACAAGAUGAUUCUGAUGAGUAUGAAGAUGAUGAAUCUGCAGCUUCAACUUCAUUUCAGCCCCAGCAGGUUCAGCCCCAGCAGGGGUACAUUCCCCCCAUGGCACAGCCGGGUUUGCCUCCCGUGCCAGGUGCACCAGGGAUGCCUCCAGGUAUACCACCAUUAAUGGCAGGUGUUCCGCCUAUGAUGCCUGGAAUGCCUCCAGUCAUGCCUGGAAUGCCACCUGGAUUACAUCAACAGAGAAAAUACAUGCAGUCAUUUUGUGGUGGAAACAUGAUGAUGCCGAUGGGUGGAAUGAUGCCUCCUGGGCCAGGAAUACCGCCUCUUAUGCCUGGCAUGCCACCAGGUAUGCCGCCGCCUGUUGGUCCUCGUCCUGGGAUGCCUCCGAUGACCCAAGCACAGCCUGUUACAGCUCCGGGCAUUCUCAACAGACCUCCAGCUCCUGCUGCAGCGGCACCUACCCCCCAGCCUCCGGUUACUAAACCACUCUUCCCAAGUGCGGGGCAGAUGGGGACACCUGUCACAAGCUCAAGUACAGCUUCCUCCAAUUCAGAAAGUCUGUCAGCAUCUUCUAACGCUCUGUUUCCUAGCACAGCACAAGCUGCAGCGGCUGUUCCAGGUCCGGUUGGUACUGAUUUCAAACCUUUGAAUUCUACACCUGCAACAACAACAGAACCCCCCAAACCUACAUUCCCUGCUUACACACAGUCUACAGCCUCAACCACUAGCACGACAAACAGUACUGCAGCUAAACCAGCUACAUCGAUAACAAGUAAGCCUGCUACCCUGACAACCACCAGUGCAACCAGUAAGUUGAUCCAUCCAGAUGAGGAUAUAUCACUGGAAGAGAGAAGGGCACAGUUGCCUAAAUAUCAGCGCAAUCUUCCUCGAGCGGGACAAGCUGCCUUGGGUAAUCCACCAGUUGGACCAAUUGGAGGCAUGAUGCCACCACAGCCAGGAAUUCCUCCGCAACAGCAAGGAAUGAGACCUCCCAUGCCACCUCAUGGUCAGUAUGGUGCUCAUCACCAGGGCAUGCCAGGAUAUCUUCCUGGAGCGAUGCCUCCAUAUGGUCAGGGACCUCCAAUGGUGCCCCCUUACCAAAGUGGACCUCCUCGACCUCCAAUGGGAAUGAGACCUCCUGUCAUGUCGCAGGGUGGCCGCUACUGAUGCUACUACACACGCUCUAAUAGGUUUUUAGAAGUGAAGUAUAGUAAAUAUGGUUCGUUAAAUUGUGAAGGCGCUGGAAUUACAUGAACAUACCACCUUAAAGCCCUGCCAUAGGACAGGCUGAGGCAGAGUCUCAGUGUUGCCCUGUUCAGUCUGAGGCAAGUGGGAUUUAUUUUAUUCAUUCUGGGGGCUUUCACAGCUUUAUGGCUGUUGGAUAUUUAUGUCCCCAAACUUGCAGCAAGUUUGGUGAAGGCCCCUAAAUUUAUUUUAACUUAGGUUUUUUUAUUCUCUUUUGGUAGAUGGGCUCUAUAUUAAUAUUUAUCUUUUUAUUAUUGUGUUUUUAAGAGUCUUAGGGGGAGGUAACAUGUUUUAAGAUGUUUGGGUACCUUUUCUCUCUUAACGGAAGGUGUUUCCUUUGAGGCUGCUCGCGUAGUCCUUCAGCCACACUGCCCCCUCCCUCUCUUCCCCUGCAUUGCAUUUGUGCUGUAUUUGGGUUUGGUUUUGCUAAUGUGACUUUUGUGUGGUCUGUGAACUAGUCGCAUGUAAAUACCAAUUAAUAAUGUUUCUUCUGGGGAGAUGCAUCUAAUGAAGUGCUUAAAAUAUGUAGGUUUACACUAGUUAGUGACAUUUAUGGUCACAAAAUCGUGUAGCCUAAAUUACAGAAUAUGGUGUCUUUGGAGGAGGUUAAGAUGUUCAUACUGCUGCGUUUGUGAGCUGCACCACAACAAAUAUUAAUGUAGAGCCCAGUGAAGAAAUAGAGAUUGAAGCUGGUGAAGCAGAAGAAUGAGAAAUCAAAGCUGCAGAUUUUUCAGUUUGUCAGUUUCAGGGAAAAUCUUUUCCUCAAUCUCUCAAAUACACUAAACUUGACAGUAUUUUGCCUAUUGCAGCAAUACUCAAAGUCAUAGCACUUUUUUGAAACCUUGUGGAAUUCUGUUGCAUAUUCAAAAUUUGCUUAGGUAUGUGGUUAUCAAAGUUCUCUCUUUCACACAAUGACUAGCAAAAAAUUGUACCCUUUGUGAAGAAAAAGGAGCACUAUUGCAGAUAUAUUCAUUUUGAAUGCUUGAGGUUGCUUAAAGACAACUCAGCUUCUGAAGAACAGGUUUUGUCCAAGGAGGUCUUGCGGUGAAACAGAAAAUCAGUAGAAGUUUGAGUCCGGUUUUAUAACUGUAAAAUUCUCAUCUAGCGCAAAUGGUUCAUAUUUUGCUCUUUUCCUGAAUUUCUGUUAGUGACAUUUUCUUCUCUGCCUCCUUGUGUGGAUCUAAGGGGCAUGGUUCCAAGAGAUACACUGUAAACGAGGUCUCUUUGAGGAACAGCAGUGUGCUUUUACAGGCACUCCAGUAUUGCAGCACUCUGUGUAUCACAAAGUUGUGCAUCUCGUGGAAUUUAUUUUCUAAUGAUGAUAGUGUUUUAGUGACCUGAUUUUUGUAGAUAUUACUGGAAGUAAGUAUUGGGGACUACUUUGCAUUUUUUUUAAGCUUUAGUAGAGGUACAUGAUCUUGUAAAAGGGCAAGAGUUAACUGAUACUCUACUAAACUGGGUGAAUUUGCACCCACUGUUUUUAACAGAGAAGUGAAUGGGAGAUGUGCCAAAUAAAGUACAUACACGCAUGAAGUUUUGGCUUGCUUUACAGUUGCUUGAUAAGUUAAUAAUACAUUCUGUGCCUUGCCUAAUAAAGAUCAUAGCCCUUAUAGCCCUUAAAUACCCUGAGGAAUAGACUGCCUCCAGAAGAAUUUUUUUUAAAUGUGUGUAUACUUGCAACCGAACUAAUCAGACCUGUGAAAUGAUGAUAGUAACUGGAGUCUAUAAAAAUGGAGCUAUUGGUGACUACCAUAUUUUCCUGUAAUUGUUGGGGUAGGCAGAUAUUAGUUUAGAGUAAAAGAAGUUUUGAGGAAGCCUUUGAAAAGAUCAAGAUGUGAAGUGAUGUUGAAGUGUAAUGUUUAUGAUGUUCCUUUUGAAGUUCUGGAAAAAAAGUUACUUUCUUUACACUGUAAACAUCAGCUUUAUGCAGUCUUUGAUUGUCGGAGCGCAGAUUCCUAUUAAGGCUCUGCUAGAAGAAAAUACAGUUCAAGUACAGCAUUUGUAGGUUGUGCUGUAUAGUGAAUGCAGUUUUACUUUUGCGAAGGUCCGUUUGAGGGAGCCAGGCACUUCACUUUGCUGCUUCUGCAGCCAGCCACGUCCUGCCUUGAGCUGCAGGAUUCAGGAUGUUACCGUCAUCCUGACAAGUCAGUAUUGAGUGUCCAUGGGAUGAACCAAGGCUUCCUAUUUACACACCUGAUUACGCUUUUGAGUAGUGAGGCACUUCCACCCGAGCAAGAUUGUAAGUAUUUUAUUUCUCGGUAAUUUAAAGAGGUUGAAAAGUUUUCAAAAAAUAGUAGAAUUAUAAUGCUGGUACCAUCUUGACUGAAAACAAACAAACAUGCGACGUGGAGAGUUUGAAGCUUCCUUAAAAACUUCUCUUUCUAGCAGUUAAAGUACGUCUCUUUUUAGCUAGCUGCCUUACACCAGAUUGGAGCUUCUGAUACCUCCAGUUUUAUUUCAUAUAUUUUAUCGAAAUCUUAGCCGUAUUCCCAGGUGCUACUUAGAAAGGGGGUAUGUGUAGAAGUUCAACUUCUGCUGCCCUGAGUAGCCAAUAUGUAUAAAAGAUUUUCCCUAACAGCAGUUUUGAACUACCAGAAAUCAAUGCUAUACAACCAAAGGAACCUAUUUCACUGUCUCCCAACUUAGGAAAUGAGGUAAUGCUUUGAGAUAAAGAGAUCAUGCAGAGCUUUUUUUCUUUCUCCUUUUUUUUUUUUUGUCUGUUGAGUUACUUGCAUAUAUGUUACUUGCACUGAAUUCUUCAGCUUCUUUCCCAUAAAUUUCAGUGGAAGAAAAGACAUUUUGCUCUUUCAUUUGUAAAGUCUAGAAUAAGAAAACACUUUGAGUCUGUUUAAUGAAGGAACCUGGCAAUGUAAGUAUUGUAAUUUCCAUUAUGUUUGCAGUAGGCAACAGGGUUACCUUGUUAAGCUUGGGGUUUAUGUAUGAAAAACAGCAGAAAAGUAAGGGCAAAUUGAAAAGAGUCUAUAGUUGCCUUUACUUCAUAUGCUUUUCUUAAACAACAAAUUGCAGUAAUUGAAGUUUGGCAGCUUUUUAAAUGAAAAUCUAAAUCAUGGGUUAAACUCCUUGGUUUAAUACAAUUUGUGUUUCUGUUAACUAGCAGCAGAAUUUCAGCAUUUGCUACUUACUGGUAGAGAAGAAAAAUUCCACAGCACUGCCAGUACAGGUUAGUUUAAUCUGUAAGUACCUGAUGUUCCUAUUUGAAAUAAUUUGUUCAAAUGAUACCACUUAAAUACAUGAGGGGAAUUUUGGUCUCUGAAAUGUGAAUGUAUCUGUUAUCUACUACUGUUUUCAGUAGUGAGUGAACAUCUAGAUUUUGAAGAUCUGUAAUGGAUUUAACUACACUUACGGGUAGGUAAUAUCUGCAAGCACUUUUAAGGAAAAUUUAAUACGGCACCUUAACAAAUAGCCAUGGGUGUUACUGAAAAGUGGGAAUAUCUAAAGUUGGAAGUUGCUUCUUCAGUAACUUGCCUAUUGUAAGAGAGGCUGUUUUAUCAGUGAACCAGUUAUAGGAGACUACAUUUGCUGUGUUGGGGAAUGAGCAUUUCUGUUUGUAAGAAUCCAUAGCAGUAAUAUAAUCUUUCUUUCAGUAUUCUUUGGCUAUUGCUAAUUACUAUCUCCUACCAACACAUUUUUACUUUGUUAGGUCUGUAAGCCAGGAGCUUGUUCUUCUUUCUCUUCCCUACCCCCCCCAUUUCAGCACUUCAGAGGCUACCAACCAAAGUGGGUUUGCCCAGCUGUUUUAUCUUACUCCAGAGUUACUGCUCUGCCCCCUUCUUUUUUCCUUCUGCCCUAUUCCGUAUUCCUGAAAUUUUGGCCUUUUAUUUUAUAGAAUAGUCUACACCUUAAAAUAGGAGAGAUUCUUUGUGAUUAGAUAAAAGAUGCAACCUUCUCCAGAAUAGCUGCAUACAUGUAUUUUUAUGCAAGCCUUGUGUACCUCAUCUCUACGUAGCAGCAUGGGAGAUGGAGACUUUCUGUGCUGUAGCACAGAGCGUAGUUUCACAGCUGGGUGAGCUGUAAAACCCUCUGCUUUAAUGCACUUGUCAAGGGCAUGUUAUCACAUUGUGAAUUUUGAGGGGCUUUUGACCUAAUUGGUGUAUAAUUAUAUAGAAACUACGUAUGUGGAAGAUCACGCUAGCGUGGUAGCUGAACAGACACUUCAGUUUUGCCAGCUUAUCUGUAUGAUCUAGAGUAGAUUGAUGAGUGACUUGAUGCUUCUAGCAGUAUUGCUUACUUUAAAAUUUUGGAACCUUAUGCGACACUGCAGAAUUGAUCAUACUAACAUAAAAAAUUUCAAGGGGAUUGUAUCUUCCCAGGUUUUAGAAUAGUUGUGCUUGAAGCCCAUCUCCUGGUGUCUUCUCUGCAUCACUUCUCAGUCAUUCACACUAAAUUGCUUUGACUGCAGAACUAGCUACAUGCAAAUUUUUGAAUAAUGUUGUGUAGGUGUUUCUCCCUAGAAGAAAAAAAAGGGCAAAGUUGUAUAAUUUGUAACUUAACUUUGCCGGUAUUUCCUAAACCUUAAUGGCAGGUGUGCAUGAAUAGUAGGGAUACCUUGCUGUGAGACCAUUAUCCUUAUUAACAGAAUGUGUGCAUCUCUUAGCUUCUGUGGCCCUAGCUGAUGCUUAAUGCUCAGUAAUAAGUCAGAAUGAGUAACUGAUUGCUUUUGCCUGCUGAAUUCCUUUGUGAAGUGCUAGUUUUGAUGGUGGCUGGAUGCUGACCUGCGCUACCUGUACACCAGCUGGGCAGUGGGAGGGGAUAGCUGAAGGGUGGUGGUGUUCUUUAGUGCCUUUAUCAACAAAAAGUGUAUUUGUCCAGAGUAGAUCUUAAUACGAACUCUGGUAGAACAUCAUCUCUUUGUGAAACUUAUGGCAAUAAACUUAUGGCAAUUAAUUGGUGGAAUUAAGUUUAUUUUUCUUUGAUACUGCACUAAAUUAAUACUAGGAAUCUGAGCUUUUGUAACCAGGUGAGCGGUCUUAAGUUAUAGCUCAUUUUCUGAUACAGCACUACAGCAGCUGUCCAGUCUAACGUGGUUCAGAAGUCUUCUUUCUCUGUUCUGAUGUGGUAUAUAUGGACAGCAACUCAGUUAACCCUGUUUCCUUCAGGCUUCUGCUUCCUGACUCUGAAUCACCAUUUCAGAGAUCAUGGCCACUGUGCAGUAAACCCAGACUUCAAACGUUAGUACUUUCUUAAAGACCUAGAAGCACAUGGUUGAAUUCUGUCCCCUCUCAGGAGCAGUACAGCCACGGGAGCUAGUGUGUCAUGAAGUAACUGGAUACUGUUUUUGUGUAAGUAGUGUGAAAGGGAUGGAAUUGUUGAUCUUUUUCAAAAGACAGGUGGCAAAAUAUUGAUGUUGAAUUUAAUUCGAGAAAGUGAGAGACUGGUAAGUACGUGCAUCGCUUUAAUGCAUGCAAGUAAUGGUAACAGUAAUUAGCUUAAUUUUAUAGCAUUCAGUUUACAAAGAAGAAUAUGGAUCUGACAUCGUUUGCAUCCAUUGGAACCUUCUAUGAACUGUAUGCUUCAGGAGUGGAUCAUUGCACAUAUACAUCUGUAAAGUAUCUCUACCACUUUGUAACAGUCUCUGAUUAAACAGAAGUGAACCAUU